ACGUAGGGGGCAAGCGUUAUCCGGAAUUAUUGGGCGUAAAGAGUGCGUAGGUGGUUUUGUAAGCGUAGGGUGAAAGGCAGUAGCUCAACUAUUGUUAGCCCUGCGAACUGUGAGACUUGAGUGCAGGAGAGGAAAGUGGAAUUCCUAGUGUAGCGGUGAAAUGCGUAGAUAUUAGGAGGAACACCAGUGGCGAAGGCGACUUUCUGGACUGUAACUGACACUGAGGCACGAAAGCGUGGGUAGCAAACAG
rnacentral:rRNA from 1 species